rnacentral:rRNA from 1 species
ACGCACGCUGGCGGCGUGCUUAACACCUGCACGUCGCACGAUGAAGCGGUGCUUGCACCGUGGAUUAGUGGCGAACGGGUGAGUAAUACGUGAGUGACCUACCUUUGACUCUGGGAUAAGCCUGGGAAACUGGGUCUAAUACCGGAUACGACCAAUCUCUGCAUGGGGUGUUGGUGGAAAGCGUUAUGGAGUGGUUUUAGAUGGGCUCACGGCCUAUCAGCUUGUUGGUGAGGUAAUGGCUUACCAAGGCGACGACGGGUAGCCGGCCUGAGAGGGUGACCGGCCACACUGGGACUGAGACACGGCCCAGACUCCUACGGGAGGCAGCAGUGGGGAAUAUUGCACAAUGGGCGCAAGCCUGAUGCAGCGACGCCGCGUGAGGGAUGACGGCCUUCGGGUUGUAAACCUCUGUUAGCAUCGAAGAAGCGAAAGUGACGGUAGGUGCAGAGAAAGCGCCGGCUAACUACGUG